GGAAGUUAAUUGAUAUUUACAUUUAGGGUUAAAUCACAUUCGAUCUCUAAGCCGCCUCCAGCCGUUACUCGUCUAAGUCGCCUCCAGCCAUUACUCGUCUAAGCUCCAUCUCUUCUCCCUUCCACGCUCAACAGCUCUUCCCACCCUCUGAGCUCUGUCAUUUUUCCUUUCGUUUGAGACGAAAAUGCAGAAGUGCAGUUGUUGUUGUGGUACUGGAACAAGAUUAGGAAUAUAUGUUGCGGUUUGGAGGUGUUGCGGUGUGUCCCCUCCAAUUGCUUGGUUUUGAUUCAAGAAAAGUGUGUGCUCAAACAAUUAUGAAGUUAAUCAAAUGGAUUCAGCGAAGAAGAGGAUUAGAAAGUGAAGAAGCAGGUGCUCUUAUAUAUAGAAUCUGGUAUACUAGGAAUGAUAAGUAUUGGAAUCAUUCAAAUCAUUUUGUGUGCUCUUAAAUAUGAAAGGGAGGCUUGCAGAAUUAGCUUCAAUAAAGUUAGUCAAAUAGAUAGAGAGUAGAUGGAAAUGUUGUAAAUGUUACAGUCUAUUAUCAGGCCUUUAAGGUGUUGAACGAUUGUAAAGUUUCAAGGUGUGGAAUAUAUAUUUAAAUGAUGACUCAUAAAAAAAAAUUAGUGUAGUGAAAUAAUAAUUUAAAUUUUUAUUUUA